GCCGGUGUAGCUCAGUUGGUAGAGCAACGGUUUUGUAAACCGUAGGCCGUCAGUUCAAGCCUGACCACCGGCUCCA
rnacentral:tRNA from 3 species